rnacentral:rRNA from 2 species
UGCAGUCGAGCGAAUCAAUAGGAGCUUGCUCCUGUUGGUUAGCGGCGGACGGGUGAGUAACACGUGGGCAACCUGCCUGUAAGACUGGGAUAACACCGGGAAACCGGUGCUAAUACCGGAUAAUUCUUAUCAACACAUGUUGGUAAGCUGAAAGUCGGUUUCGGCUGACACUUACAGAUGGGCCCGCGGCGCAUUAGCUAGUUGGUGAGGUAACGGCUCACCAAGGCGACGAUGCGUAGCCGACCUGAGAGGGUGAUCGGCCACACUGGGACUGAGACACGGCCCAGACUCCUACGGGAGGCAGCAGUAGGGAAUCUUCCACAAUGGACGAAAGUCUGAUGGAGCAACGCCGCGUGAGCGAAGAAGGCCUUCGGGUCGUAAAGCUCUGUUGUCAGGGAAGAACAAGUAUCGGAGUAACUGCCGGUACCUUGACGGUACCUGACCAGAAAGCCACGGCUAACUACGUGCCAGCAGCCGCGGUAAUACGUAGGUGGCAAGCGUUGUCCGGAAUUAUUGGGCGUAAAGCGCGCGCAGGCGGUCCUUUAAGUCUGAUGUGAAAGCCCACGGCUCAACCGUGGAGGGUCAUUGGAAACUGGGGGACUUGAGUGCAGAAGAGGAAAGCGGAAUUCCACGUGUAGCGGUGAAAUGCGUAGAGAUGUGGAGGAACACCAGUG